AUUGAACGCUGGCGGCAGGCCUAACACAUGCAAGUCGAGCGGAUGAAGGGAGCUUGCUCCUGGAUUCAGCGGCGGACGGGUGAGUAAUGCCUAGGAAUCUGCCUGGUAGUGGGGGAUAACGUCCGGAAACGGGCGCUAAUACCGCAUACGUCCUGAGGGAGAAAGUGGGGGAUCUUCGGACCUCACGCUAUCAGAUGAGCCUAGGUCGGAUUAGCUAGUUGGUGGGGUAAAGGCCUACCAAGGCGACGAUCCGUAACUGGUCUGAGAGGAUGAUCAGUCACACUGGAACUGAGACACGGUCCAGACUCCUACGGGAGGCAGCAGUGGGGAAUAUUGGACAAUGGGCGAAAGCCUGAUCCAGCCGUGCCGCGUGUAUGAAGAAGGUCUUCGGAUUGUAAAGCACUUUAAGUUGGGAGGAAGGGCAGUAAGUUAAUACCUUGCUGUUUUGACGUUACCAACAGAAUAAGCACCGGCUAACUUCGUG
rnacentral:rRNA from 1 species